rnacentral:rRNA from 1 species
UACGGAGGAUCCAAGCGUUAUCCGGAUUUAUUGGGUUUAAAGGGUGCGUAGGCGGAAUGAUAAGUCAGUGGUGAAAGCCCUUCGCUUAACGAAGGAACUGCCAUUGAUACUGUCAAUCUUGAGUACAUUUGAUGUGGGCGGAAUGUGUCAUGUAGCGGUGAAAUGCUUAGAUAUGACACAGAACACCGAUUGCGAAGGCAGCUCACAGAACUGUAACUGACGCUGAGGCACGAAAGCGUGGGUAUCAAACAGG